GGGAGGCAGCAGUCGGGAAUUUUGGGCAAUGGGGGAAACCCUGACCCAGCAACGCCGCGUGAAGGAUGAAGUAUUUCGGUAUGUAAACUUCGAAAGAAUAGGAAGAAUUAAUGACGGUACUAUUUAUAAGGUCCGGCUAACUACGUGCCAGCAGCCGCGGUAAUA
rnacentral:rRNA from 1 species